rnacentral:rRNA from 1 species
GACGAACGCUGGCGGCGUGCUUAACACAUGCAAGUCGAACGAUGAAGCCGGAGCUUGCUCUGGUGAAUUAGUGGCGAACGGGUGAGUAACACGUGAGUAACCUGCCCUCGACUCUGGGAUAACUGCGGGAAACUGUAGCUAAUACCGGAUACGACCCUCGGAGGCAUCUCCUGGGGGUGGAAAGAAUUUCGGUCAAGGAUGGACUCGCGGCCUAUCAGCUAGUUGGUGAGGUAAAGGCUCACCAAGGCGACGACGGGUAGCCGGCCUGAGAGGGUGACCGGCCACACGGGGACUGAGACACGGCCCAGACUCCUACGGGAGGCAGCAGUGGGGAAUAUUGCACAAUGGGCGCAAGCCUGAUGCAGCGACGCCGCGUGAGGGAUGACGGCCUUCGGGUUGUAAACCUCUUUUAGUAGGGAAGAAGCAAAAGUGACGGUACCUGCAGAAAAAGCACCGGCUAACUACGUGCCAGCAGCCGCCGUAA